UGCAAAUGAUGUUUUUCUCACGAUGGUCUUCCUAGCUUAAGCUCUGACGAUAGUGCCUUUGGCAAAUACUGAUGCGGCUUC
ensembl:snoRNA